rnacentral:rRNA from 1 species
GAUGAACGCUGGCGGCGUGCCUAAUACAUGCAAGUCGAGCGAACGGACGAGAAGCUUGCUUCUCUGAUGUUAGCGGCGGACGGGUGAGUAACACGUGGAUAACCUACCUAUAAGACUGGGAUAACUUCGGGAAACCGGAGCUAAUACCGGAUGAUAUUUUGAACCGCAUGGUUCAAAAGUGAAAGACGGUCUUGCUGUCACUUAUAGAUGGAUCCGCGCUGCAUUAGCUAGUUGGUAAGGUAACGGCUUACCAAGGCAACGAUGCAUAGCCGACCUGAGAGGGUGAUCGGCCCCACUGGAACUGAGACCCGGUCCAGGCUCCUACGGGAGGCAGCAGUAGGGACUCUUCCGCAAUGGGCGGAAGCCUGACGGAGCAACGCCGCGUGAGUGAUGAAGGUCUUCGGAUCGUAAAACUCUGUUAUUAGGGAAGAACAUAUGUGUAAGUAACUGUGCACAUCUUGACGGUACCUAAUCAGAAAGCCGCGGCUAACUACGUG